CAAGUGUAGAAGCAGACAAUUCAUUGAGGAAGAGAAGAAAGCAGAAGGCAGCACACUUCUUGAUUUCAAGCUUUACUAUAAGGUUAUAGUUAACAAAACUGAGGACCACAUUUUGAGAAAACACUCAGACAUUCAGAGAACCAAACCAAAAUUGCUACCUCCCCAAGUUGGGGAGGUAAGUGCAAUUUUAAGGAAGAUAAUUGAUGGAGCAGGUGUAAAUAAAAGAAAAAGCAAGGAUAACGCUGGAAGAAUUUUGUUUAAAGAGGGUCCUAAGGGUCUUGGGUGAAGCAGCUGGUGAUCACACCAAGGAGACACAGGAGCCACCAGCUUGGGCUGACAGGCACAAUAACCAUUUAUUCAAAGAUGCCAUCUAAUGCACUAUGCCACUAAGUACUGUGGCUGGACAGUGAUUUUAAGUGUAACAAAUUAUCUUCACUUUGAAAAGAGCUUAAGAGAGAGAAAACAAAUAUUACAUCUUAAACAGAGGCAUGAAUCAAACCAACUUAUGAACGGUGAAAGCAACUUAUCAAAAUGUCUUCGGACAUAUCAAGACUGACUUAAACCAGGUUCUGUGCCCUUUCUUUGUUGAGAAGAUAAACUGGAAAAUGCAAGCUAUUGUCCUUUGCC
rnacentral:lncRNA from 1 species